rnacentral:rRNA from 1 species
ACCUACGGGAGGCAGCAGUGGGGAAUAUUGCACAAUGGGCGCAAGCCUGAUGCAGCCAUGCCGCGUGUGUGAAGAAGGCCUUCGGGUUGUAAAGCACUUCAGCGAGGAGGAAGGUGGUGAGCUUAAUACGCUCAUCAAUGACGUACUCGCAGAUGAGACUCUC